rnacentral:rRNA from 1 species
GGGCCCGCACAAGCGGUGGAGUAUGUGGUUUAAUUCGAUGCAACGCGAAGAACCUUACCAGGGUUUGACAUCCUGCGAAUCUCUUGGAAACGAGAGAGUGCCUUCGGGAGCGCAGUGACAGGUGGUGCAUGGCUGUCGUCAGCUCGUGUCGUGAGAUGUUGGGUUAAGUCCCGCAACGAGCGCAACCCACGUCUUUAGUUGCCAGCGAUUCGGUCGGGAACUCUAAGGAGACUGCCUGCGCAAGCAGAGAGGAAGGCGGGGACGACGUCAAAUCAUCAUGGCCUUUAUGCCCAGGGCUACACACGUGCUACAAUGGUAAGGACAAAGGGCAGCGAGCCGGCGACGGUCAGCGAAUCCCAAAAACCUUAUCUCAGUUCGGAUUGGAGUCUGCAACUCGACUCCAUGAAGCUGGAAUCGCUAGUAAUCG